AUUGAACGCUGGCGGCAUGCCUUACACAUGCAAGUCGAACGGCAGCACGGGAGCAAUCCUGGUGGCGAGUGGCGAACGGGUGAGUAAUAUAUCGGAACGUGCCCAGUCGUGGGGGAUAACGUAGCGAAAGCUACGCUAAUACCGCAUACGAUCUAUGGAUGAAAGCGGGGGAUCGCAAGACCUCGCGCGAUUGGAGCGGCCGAUAUCAGAUUAGGUAGUUGGUGAGGUAAAGGCUCACCAAGCCGACGAUCUGUAGCUGGUCUGAGAGGACGAACAGCCACACUGGGGCUGAGACACGGCCCAGACUCCUACGGGAGGCAGCAGUGGGGAAUUUUGGACAAUGGGCGCAAGCCUGAUCCAGCAAUGCCGCGUGCAGGAUGAAGGCCUUCGGGUUGUAAACUGCUUUUGUACGGAACGAAACGGUGAGCUCUAAUACAGUUUGCUAAUGACGGUACCGAAAGAAUAAGCACCGGCUAACUACGUGCCAGCCGCCGCAGUAA
rnacentral:rRNA from 1 species